rnacentral:rRNA from 1 species
GAUGAACGCUGGCGGCGUGCCUAAUACAUGCAAGUCGAGCGAACAGACGAGGAGCUUGCUCCUCUGACGUUAGCGGCGGACGGGUGAGUAACACGUGGAUAAUCUACCUAUAAGACUGGGAUAACUUCGGGAAACCGGAGCUAAUACCGGAUAAUAUAUUGAACCGCAUGGUUCAAUAGUGAAAGACGGUUUUGCUGUCACUUAUAGAUGGAUCCGCGCCGCAUUAGCUAGUUGGUAAGGUAACGGCUUACCAAGGCAACGAUGCGUAGCCGACCUGAGAGGGUGACCGGCCACACUGGAACUGAGACACGGUCCAGACGCAUACGGGAGGCAGCAGUAGGGAAUCUUCCGCAAUGGGCGAAAGCUUGACGGAGCAACGCCGCGUGAGUGAUGAAGGUCUUCGGAGCGUAAAACUCUGUUAUUAGGGAAGAACAAAUGUGUAAGUAACUAUGCACGUCUUGACGGUACCGAAUCAGAAAGCCACGGCUAACUACGU